CUUUAUUUCUCUGAAGAUUGAUGAUGAUUAUAAUUCGUUGAGGAUCUGCUAAUGUGCCAGGUACUUUAAGUAAGUGCUUGGCAUGUGAUCUAAAAAAAAAAAAAAAAAAACCUCAAAAGAAUUGUUGUAUGGGGUAGAGAGUAUUCUCAUUUUAUAAGUUAACAAACUCAGAGAUGUUGAAAUGAAAGGGCUAUUCUGAAGCUAGAGGUGGCCCUGGAGUCUUGAGGGCUGGCAGGCGGCCAGCACACAGGUGGGAGCUGCCGGGUGGUCUGCAGGCCCCGGAAGAUACAAGACAGAGAUCCUGGACAGGCUCCAGGACAGUGGACCCCGUGUGACCCCCCAAACCCCCAGCUCCCACCCACAAAGCCAGACACAUCCCCCAGUGGGGUGGCAGAAUUCAUAUUAGAAUUGUGCAAACAGAAAUAUCCAAGAAAACAACUAUAGUCCCAGGUUACCUGGUUGGUAGCUGGUACAGUGGGGCCAGAGCCCACACACAAGCAUUUCCCAGGUAAGUCUAUUCUUGUGAACUAGUGAUGCUGAGUCUUCAAUGUGGGAGAAGGCGAGGCUGCUGCCUUCCCCUUCAUAAGCAUCUGCAUUAUCUGAUUAGACUCUGAUGUGUCUAGAAAUGAGGCCAGUGAAACAACCAGAGUGCAAGGCAG
rnacentral:lncRNA from 1 species